rnacentral:rRNA from 1 species
UACGAAGGGGGCUAGCGUUGCUCGGAAUCACUGGGCGUAAAGGGUGCGUAGGCGGGUCUUUAAGUCAGGGGUGAAAUCCUGGAGCUCAACUCCAGAACUGCCUUUGAUACUGAAGAUCUUGAGUUCGGGAGAGGUGAGUGGAACUGCGAGUGUAGAGGUGAAAUUCGUAGAUAUUCGCAAGAACACCGGUGGCGAAGGCGGCUACACUGGUCCGGUACUGACGCUGAGGUGCGAAAGCGUGGGGAGCAAACAGGG